rnacentral:miRNA from 1 species
UAUGAGCUCCUGGACACCAUUGGCA